AGGUUCGAUUCUGGCUCAGGAUGAACGCUGGCGGCGUGCCUAACACAUUCAAGUCGAACGAACUGUAGAAAUACAGUGAGUGGCGGACGGGUGAGUAACGCGUAAGCAAUCUGCCUUUUGUGUGUGGAAUAACAACCGGAAACAGUUUGCUAAUACCGCAUAACGCAUAGGAGUCGCAUGGCUCUUAUGCCAAAGAUUUAUCGCACGAAGAUGAGCUUGCGUCCGAUUAGAUAGUUGGCGGGGUAACGGCCCACCAAGUCUGCGAUCGGUAGCCGGACUGAGAGGUUGAACGGCCACAUUGGAACUGAGAUACGGUCCAGACUCCUACGGGAGGCAGCAGUGGGGAAUAUUGGGCAAUGGACGAAAGUCUGAACCCCCAGCGACGCCGCGUGAGGGAAGAAGGUCUUCGGAUUGUAAACCUUAGCCAACAGGGACGAAGCAAGUGACGGUACCUGUGGAGGAAGCCACGGCUAACUACGUGCCAGCAGCAGC
rnacentral:rRNA from 1 species